AUGUUCAACCUGGGAGACAAAUAAUAGUGAAGUAGUGAAAUGCUAACUGUGUUUUCUUCAACAACACUGAGUUACAGACUUUUAGUGAAUCAUGAUAAAUGUUUAUAGGUGAGCAUGUUACUAUUGCAUCAGAAACAUCUACACCAGCUCUGUGUGAUAAUUCAGUGGUGUGUGAACCAACACUGCAUGGAAACAGCACUAACAUGAACACACAAGAGAAAACAGUGCUCGGUUUGGGAACGGCUUUGGGUUUGUGUGCACUUCUGAUUUUCUGCCUCAUUUAUUUCAUACUGAGGAGAAGAAUUUGUGAUAAAAUAAAUGCUUCUAUAGAAAACUCUCCAGGAACAAGGCAGGAAUAUGAAGCAGAAAUGCUGAAUUAUGCAGCUUUGAAAUUCUCCAAGCAGAAAGCCAAAGUUGGAAAAAGAAAAACUGGCCCAUCAGAUGAGUGUGUGUACUCUGAUGUGAAUAAAACUGUAAGAUGUAACAUAAAUGAUUCAUAACACAUGGUACUAUUACACUGUAAAAACUAUCUCUCUAUCUAACUGAAAAUAUCUUGACUAUACACUAAUUUGUUCCACAUUUUUCAU